ACGGGUGAGUAAUAUAUCGGAACGUGCCCAGUAGUGGGGGAUAGCCCGGCGAAAGCCGGAUUAAUACCGCAUACGACCUACGGGUGAAAGCGGGGGAUCGCAAGACCUCGCGCUAUUGGAGCGGCCGAUAUCAGAUUAGGUAGUUGGUGGGGUAAAAGCCUACCAAGCCGACGAUCUGUAGCUGGUCUGAGAGGACGACCAGCCACACUGGGACUGAGACACGGCCCAGACUCCUACGGGAGGCAGCAGUGGGGAAUUUUGGACAAUGGGCGCAAGCCUGAUCCAGCCAUGCCGCGUGCGGGAAGAAGGCCUUCGGGUUGUAAACCGCUUUUGUCAGGGAAGAAACGGUCUGAUCUAAUACAUUGGACUAAUGACGGUACCUGAAGAAUAAGCACCGGCUAACUACGUGCCAGCAGCCGCGGUAAUACGUAGGGUGCAAGCGUUAAUCGGAAUUACUGGGCGUAAAGCGUGCGCAGGCGGCUUUGCAAGACAGAUGUGAAAUCCCCGGGCUCAACCUGGGAACUGCAUUUGUGACUGCAAGGCUAGAGUACGGUAGAGGGGGAUGGAAUUCCGCGUGUAGCAGUGAAA
rnacentral:rRNA from 1 species